rnacentral:rRNA from 1 species
GAUGAACGCUGGCGGCGUGCCUAAUACAUGCAAGUCGAGCGAACGGACGAGAAGCUUGCUUCUCUGAUGUUAGCGGCGGACGGGUGAGUAACACGUGGAUAACCUACCUAUAAGACUGGGAUAACUUCGGGAAACCGGAGCUAAUACCGGAUAAUAUUUUGAACCGCAUGGUUCAAAAGUGAAAGACGGUCUUGCUGUCACUUAUGGAUGGAUCCGCGCUGCAUUAGCUAGUUGGUAAGGUAACGGCUUACCAAGGCAACGACGCAUAGCCGACCUGAGAGGGUGACCGGCCAAAUGGGGACUGAGAGACGGCCCAGAGGCGUACGGGAGGCAGCAGUGGGGAAUAUUGCAAAAUGGGCGGAAGCCGGAUGCAGCAACGGCGCGUGCGGGAUGACGGCCUUCGGGUUGUAAACCGCGGGCGCCUGUGACGAAGCGUGAGUGACGGUAAUGGGUAAAGAAGCACCGGCUAACUACGUG